CAGUCGCCGCGGUAAUACGUAGGUGGCAAGCGUUGUCCGGAAUUAUUGGGCGUAAAGGGCUCGCAGGCGGUUUCUUAAGUCUGACGUGAAAGCCCCCGGCUCAACCGGGGAGGGUCAUUGGAAACUGGGAAACUUGAGUGCAGAAGAGGAGAGUGGAAUUCCACGUGUAGCGGUGAAAUGCGUAGAGAUGUGGAGAAACACCAGUGGCGAAGGCGGCUCUCUGGUCUGUAACUGACGCUGAGGAGCGAAAGCGUGGGGAGCGAACAGGAUUAGAUACCCGCGUAGUCCCUGUCUCUUAUAC
rnacentral:rRNA from 1 species